rnacentral:rRNA from 1 species
UGACGGUAGCUUACCAGAAAGGGACGGCUAACUACGUGCCAGCAGCCGCGGUAAUACGUAGGUCCCGAGCGUUGUCCGGAUUUAUUGGGCGUAAAGGGAGCGCAGGCGGUCAGGAAAGUCUGGAGUAAAAGGCUAUGGCUCAACCAUAGUGUGCUCUGGAAACUGUCUGACUUGAGUGCAGAAGGGGAGAGUGGAAUUCCAUGUGUAGCGGUGAAAUGCGUAAGAUAUAUGGAGGAACACCAGUGGCGAAAGCGGCUCUCUGGUCUGUCACUGACGCUGAGGCUCGAAAGCGUGGGUAGCGAACAGGAUUAGAUACCCUGGUAGUCCACGCCGUAAACGAUGAGUGCUAGGUGUUAGGCCCUUUCCGGGGCUUAGUGCCGGAGCUAACGCAAUAAGCACUCCGCCUGGGGAGUACGACCGCAAGGUUGAAACUCAAAGGAAUUGACGGGGGCCCGCACAAGCGGUGGAGCAUGUGGUUUAAUUC